rnacentral:lncRNA from 1 species
AUUCCUCCUGCUUAGUGACUCGAAUUCGGGAAUAACUUUAAGUCAGAUUAAAGUGGUGGGCUUCCAUACUCCGAAAGACCUUAUUUCAAGUCUUUUUUCAUCAGUACCAUUCAGGAUCAAGUUUUCUUCAGCAACCUUGACCUUUUCUUCAUAACUUUUUACAUUGGCAUAUAUGUCACCAAAAACCUCCUCAGACCACUUACUUAGAGUAGAAGUUAGUCUUUUUAUUUUUUUGGUGAAAUCUGCACAUGGGUGUUCCCUAACAGGGUAUUUGCCAGCAGUUUUCCACAGUAGUAAGGAAUGUGGGAUGCAUG